UACGAAGGGGGCAAGCGUUGCUCGGAAUCACUGGGCGUAAAGGGCGCGUAGGCGGGAUGGCAAGUCGGUCGUGAAAUCCUUCGGCUCAACCGAAGAACGUCGGCCGAUACUGCCGUUCUUGAGGGAUGCAGAGGAGAUUGGAAUUCCCGGUGUAGCGGUGAAAUGUGUAGAGAUCGGGAGGAACACCGGUGGCGAAAGCGGCUCACUGGACCAUAACUGACGCUGAGGCACGAAAGCUAGGGGAGCAAACAGG
rnacentral:rRNA from 1 species